rnacentral:rRNA from 1 species
GAUGAACGCUGGCGGCGUGCCUAAUACAUGCAAGUCGAGCGAACGGACGAGAAGCUUGCUUCUCUGAUGUUAGCGGCGGACGGGUGAGUAACACGUGGAUAACCUACCUAUAAGACUGGGAUAACUUCGGGAAACCGGAGCUAAUACCGGAUAAUAUUUUGAACCGCAUGGUUCAAAAGUAAAAGACGGUCUUGCUGUCACUUAUAGAUGGAUCCGCGCUGCAUUAGCUAGUUGGUAAGGUAACGGCUUACCAAGGCAACGAUGCAUAGCCGACCUGAGAGGGUGAUCGGCCACACUGGAACUGAGACACGGUCCAGACUCCUACGGGAGGCAGCAGUAGGGAAUCUUCCGCAGUGGGCGAAAGCCUGACGGAGCAACGCCGCGUGAGUGAUGAAGGUCUUCGGAUCGUAAAACUCUGUUAUUAGGGAAGAACAUAUGUGUAAGUAACUGUGCACAUCUUGACGGUACCUAAUCAGAAAGCCACGGCUAACUACAU